CCACACACGAUCCAAGAUCGACACUUAUUUGUGAACUGUUAAAUGUUAUUGAAUGUUAAUGAAAAGGGGAUUUGAUGGAUGUAAUAGUCUAUCUGCUCCAUUUUGUUAAUGUUUAUUACUUUACACCAAAAAACAAACAUGAAUUAUCUAUGGAACAUAAAUGUUAUUUCAAGUUCGUCUUGAACAUAACGCUAGAUUGAAAAUUGUAAA
rnacentral:misc_RNA from 1 species